GUUUGUCGGUAGGCAGUAGUGAAGUACGAGUUCUUGGUGAUAUACAUCUUCUACCUAUCAGUAUUACUAAUUCUAUCAAUCAUGGAUCUUACCAAGAUAAAUGAGGUUAAUUGUCUUACUGGGGUUCUUCCUGUUAA